rfam:Clostridium sp. ASF356 genomic scaffold acMac-supercont1.5, whole genome shotgun sequence.
GGGGAUGUAAUGGUUUCGACGGGAAUUUUGAAAGUAGGGAUAGCCAUCUGCAGUCUCGGUAACUGCAUAUCAAACCGAAAACUUUAAAAAGAAAAGACAAAGAUUAUACUUUAAUGGCAGCCUAAGUGCUGCUCGUCAGCCUCUAGUCUAUCACCGCUAGAGGGUCUGGCGUCGACAGGUGAUGCACUUUCUGUUGUAAGCUUUGCCAACAGAAAAGAUUUAUGAAGCUACUGAAGAAUAUAGCCUGCUCUUCGGCGAUAUUCUGAAGGAAUGUCAAAAGAAAAGCUGUGAUGGGAGAAGUCCUUAUGGAGAGGUUUUCGGACAGGGGUUCAAUUCCCCUCAUCUCCAUAA